GCACUGGGGGUUGUAGGACUGCAAUGUGCAAGAGGUGAGUUUAGCAGAACAUUCUGGAAAGUAUAGCCAUAGAGGGUGAUAGUCCCGUAUGCGAAAAACAAACCUUAGCUAGCAGUAUCCUGAGUAGGGCGGGACACGAGAAAUCCUGUCUGAAGCUGGGUCGACCACGAUCCAACCCUAAAUACUAAUACCAGAUCGAUAGUGCACAAGUACCGUGAGGGAAAGGUGAAAAGAACUGAGGUGAUCAGAGUGAAAUAGAACCUGAAACCAUUUGCUUACAAUCAUUCAGAGCACUAUGUAGCAAUACAGUGUGAUGGACUGCCUUUUGCAUAAUGAGCCUGCGAGUUGUGGUGUCUGGCAAGGUUAAGCAAACGCGAAGCCGUAGCGAAAGCGAGUCUGAAUAGGGCGCUUAGUCAGAUGCUGCAGACCCGAAACGAAGUGAUCUAUCCAUGAGCAAGUUGAAGCUAGUGUAAGAACUAGUGGAGGACUGAACCCAUAGGCGUUGAAAAGCCCCGGGAUGACUUGUGGAUAGGGGUGAAAGGCCAAUCAAACUUCGUGAUAGCUGGUUCUCUCCGAAAUAUAUUUAGGUAUAGCGUUGUGUCGUAAUAUAAGGGGGUAGAGCACUGAAUGGGCUAGGGCAUACACCAAUGUACCAAACCCUAUCAAACUCCGAAUACCUUAUAUGUAAUCACAGCAGUCAGGCGGCGAGUGAUAAAAUCCGUCGUCAAGAGGGAAACAACCCAGACUACCAGCUAAGGUCCCUAAAUCUUACUUAAGUGGAAAACGAUGUGAAGUUACUUAAACAACCAGGAGGUUGGCUUAGAAGCAGCCAUCCUUUAAAGAAAGCGUAAUAGCUCACUGGUCUAGUGAUUUUGCGCGGAAAAUAUAACGGGGCUAAAGUAAGUACCGAAGCUGUAGACUUGAUUUUAUCAAGUGGUAGGAGAGCGUUCUAUUUGCGCCGAAGGUAUACCGGUAAGGAGUGCUGGAGCGAAUAGAAGUGAGCAUGCAGGCAUGAGUAGCGAUAAUUAAUGUGAGAAUCAUUAACGCCGUAAACCCAAGGUUUCCUACGCGAUGCUCGUCAUCGUAGGGUUAGUCGGGUCCUAAGUCGAGUCCGAAAGGGGUAGACGAUGGCAAAUUGGUUAAUAUUCCAAUACCAACAUUAGUGUGCGAUGGAAGGACGCUUAGGGCUAAGGGGGCUAGCGGAUGGAAGUGCUAGUCUAAGGUCGUAGGAGGUUAUACAGGCAAAUCCGUAUAACAUACUCCGAGAACUGAAAGGCUUUUUGAAGUCUUCGGAUGGAUAGAAGAACCCCUGAUGCCGUCGAGCCAAGAAAAGUUUCUAAGUUUAGCUAAUGUUGCCCGUACCGUAAACCGACACAGGUGGGUGGGAUGAGUAUUCUAAGGCGCGUGGAAGAACUCUCUUUAAGGAACUCUGCAAAAUAGCACCGUAUCUUCGGUAUAAGGUGUGGUUCGCUUCGUAUUAGGAUUUACUCCGAAAGCGAAGAAACUUACAACAAAGAGUCCCUCCCGACUGUUUACCAAAAACACAGCACUCUGCUAACUCGUAAGAGGAUGUAUAGGGUGUGACGCCUGCCCGGUGCUCGAAGGUUAAUUGAUGGGGUUAGCAUUAGCGAAGCUCUUGAUCGAAGCCCGAGUAAACGGCGGCCGUAACUAUAACGGUCCUAAGGUAGCGAAAUUCCUUGUCGGUUAAAUACCGACCUGCAUGAAUGGCGUAACGAGAUGGGAGCUGUCUCAAAGAGGGAUCCAGUGAAAUUGUAGUGGAGGUGAAAAUUCCUCCUACCCGCGGCAAGACGGAAAGACCCCGUGGACCUUUACUACAGCUUGACACUGCUAUUUGGAUAAGAAUGUGCAGGAUAGGUGGGAGGCUUUGAGUAUAUGACGCCAGUUGUAUAUGAGCCAUUGUUGAGAUACCACUCUUUCUUAUUUGGGUAGCUAACCAGCUUGAGUUAUCCUCAAGUGGGACAAUGUCUGGUGGGUAGUUUGACUGGGGCGGUCGCCUCCCAAAUAAUAACGGAGGCUUACAAAGGUUGGCUCAGAACGGUUGGAAAUCGUUCGUAGAGUAUAAAGGUAUAAGCCAGCUUAACUGCAAGACAUACAAGUCAAGCAGAGACGAAAGUCGGUCUUAGUGAUCCGGUGGUUCUGUGUGGAAGGGCCAUCGCUCAAAGGAUAAAAGGUACCCCGGGGAUAACAGGCUGAUCUCCCCCAAGAGCUCACAUCGACGGGGAGGUUUGGCACCUCGAUGUCGGCUCAUCGCAUCCUGGGGCUGGAGCAGGUCCCAAGGGUAUGGCUGUUCGCCAUUUAAAGCGGUACGCGAGCUGGGUUCAGAACGUCGUGAGACAGUUCGGUCCCUAUCUGCCGUGGGCGUAAGAAGAUUGAAGAGAUUUGACCCUAGUACGAGAGGACCGGGUUGAACAAACCACUGGUGUAGCUGUUGUUCUGCCAAGAGCAUCGCAGCGUAGCUAAGUUUGGAAAGGAUAAACGCUGAAAGCAUCUAAGCGUGAAGCCAACUCUAAGAUGAAUCUUCUCUAAGCUCUCUAGAAGACUACUAGUUUGAUAGGCUGGGUGUGUAAUGGAUGAAAGUCCUUUAGCUGACCAGUACUAAUAGAGCGUUUGGCUUAUCUUUAAUAAAGCAU
rnacentral:rRNA from 1 species